AUUGAACGCUGGCGGCAUGCCUUACACAUGCAAGUCGAACGGCAGCGGGGACUUCGGUCCGCCGGCGAGUGGCGAACGGGUGAGUAAUGUAUCGGAACGUACCAUUCAGUGGGGGAUAACUAUCCGAAAGGAUAGCUAAUACCGCAUAUUCUGUGAGCAGGAAAGCAGGGGAUCGCAAGACCUUGCGCUGAUUGAGCGGCCGAUAUCAGUUUAGCUAGUUGGUGAGGUAACGGCUCACCAAGGCUACGAUCUGUAGCGGGUCUGAGAGGAUGGUCCGCCACACUGGGACUGAGACACGGCCCAGACUCCUACGGGAGGCAGCAGUGGGGAAUUGUGGACAAUGAGCGCAAGCCUGAUCCAGCCAUGCCGCGUGAGUGAAGAAGGCCUUCGGGUUGUAAAGCUCUUUCGGCUGGGAAGAAAUCGCAUCAGCUAAUACCUGGUGUGGAUGACGGUACCGGAGUAAGAAGCACCGGCUAACUACGUGCCAGCCGCCGCCGUAAAAC
rnacentral:rRNA from 1 species